CACACCCAAAUGCUAGAGAGACAAAAACCCUGUUAUUCAACAUUCGGUGGUCUCGACAUUUCAAGCUAGCAAACACUUUGAAAGGCAUCACAACUCAGUAUCGAAUUUUUCUCAGCUCGGUUUAUAUUAAUAAAAGUUUGUUGUGUAAGAGAUCGCAGCUGAGCCAUUUUUGACACCAUGUUUCGCUUGACUCUAUCCAUCGUUGUGUUUUGCAUCGUCCUUCUUCAGUUCACUGAGACCAGGAUUGAGGAGACUCGAGGACCAGCAGGACCAGCUAAGGAAUAUGAGCUCCGACACGAGCGGAUCAAGUCUUUACUGAGUGAGCUACAUUAUCUGUAUGAUGAAGAGGCUCGUGAAGUAAAGACACUUACUUCAGGAAAACGAGACACCAUCGACCCAGCCUGGUGAAGAUCUAAUGAAGUUUGCUUAACUGUCUUCAUCAAUUAUACGACUUAGUGCACUGUAUCCACUAUUUUAGUUUGGUUAUUUAGUCGUGGUAUAAAAGGGUGAUCGGUUGGCUGUUUCUGGUUUGCUUUUCUUGGCAGCACCAUUAAUCUUGUUUGGUUAAGUUACCAUUUAAAUAUAUUUUGAUAAUUGUACACUUCUGAAGUUUUCGUUAUUAUCGAUUAAAAAAUCAUGCCCUGACCUAAAGAUUUUGAAAACUAGAAACACUUCUGCCGUUUAUGGCGCGAAUCUUUCAAACAAGCACUGAAUGGUAUUCGAAAUGAUUGUGUGUUUUACUACAAUUAAAGUAUAUUCAUAGUCAUUCGACUCGAUUUCCUUAUUGAUUGAAAACAUUUUAUAUGAAAUUCAGCAAAAAUCACGACCUGCCAUUUUCGCACAAGUACCUGUUUUAAACCGUUUUGGUAUAAAGUUGGUACAUACAUCGCUGUGAUGCAAAACAAGUUGGUCUGAUCUUGAAGAGUAUCGCUGGAAACCAGACCAGUGAAAUACAAAACUGAUAUUAGAAGCUUGUUCAAAUGGCAUACUGCAUCAAAGGAAAA